AACAUCGCGCACCUGCGGGAACCUGCGGAAGGAUCAUUACAGAGUUGCAAAACUCCCUAAACCAUUGUGAACGUUACCUAAACCGUUGCUUCGGCGGGCGGCCCGGGUCCUUCCCGGCGCCCCUCGGCCCUCGCGGGCGCCCGCCGGAGGUAAACCAAACUAUUGCAUUGUAUGGCCUCUCUGAGUCUUCUGUACUGAAUAAGUCAAAACUUUUAGCAACGGAUCUCAGAUCGGAAGAGC
rnacentral:misc_RNA from 1 species